rnacentral:rRNA from 1 species
GAUGAACGCUGGCGGCGUACCUAAUACAUGCAAGUCGAGCGAACAGACGAGGAGCUUGCUCCUCUGACGUUAGCGGCGGACGGGUGAGUAACACGUGGAUAACCUACCUAUAAGACUGGGAUAACUUCGGGAAACCGGAGCUAAUACCGGAUAAUAUAUUGAACCGCAUGGUUCAAUAGUGAAAGACGGUUUUGCUGUCACUUAUAGAUGGAUCCGCGCCGCAUUAGCUAGUUGGUAAGGUAACGGCUUACCAAGGCAACGAUGCGUAGCCGACCUGAGAGGGUGAUCGGCCACACUGGAACUGAGACACGGUCCAGACUCCUACGGGAGGCAGCAGUAGGGAAUCUUCCGCAAUGGGCGAAAGCCUGACGGGGCAACGCCGCGUGAGUGAUGAAGGUCUUCGGAUCGUAAAACUCUGUUAUUAGGGAAGAACAAAUGUGUAAGUAACUAUGCACGUCUUGACGGUACCUAAUCAGAAAGCCACGGCUAACUACGUG